UACGUAGGCAGCAAGCGUUGUUCGGAAUUACUGGGCGUAAAGCGAGUGUAGGCGGGUUGCCAAGUCUGCCGUGAAAUCUCCCGGCUCAACUGGGAGGGUGCGGCGGAAACUGGCAGGCUAGAGUGCGGAAGAGGAAAGUGGAAUUCCUGGUGUAGCGGUGAAAUGCGUAGAUAUCAGGAGGAACACCGGUGGUGAAGACGGCUUUCUGGACCGCCACUGACGCUGAGACUCGAAAGCGUAGGUAGCGAACAGG
rnacentral:misc_RNA from 1 species